UGGUAGCCUCCAUGAACCUCCACACGGCUGGACCAAUGGAUAGGACAGAGGACAACAGUGAAGACUCAAGCUGCUGAAAGCAAAAACACCGUCUACAAUAGCACAGCAGAAGGCGGCGACCACACCAAAACUGAUGAAGACGAUAGAUGCCACAAGCUGUAAGACAAACAGAUGAUAAGGCUUUUUUUUUUGUUGGGACCUGGUCCACUUUCAAAUGACAGCACUAAAACUUGAUUGUGUUGUCAAAACAUGUGUGCAUUGAACACAUGAACACAACCUACUCAUAAUGUUUCAAGCUUGAAUAGGAGCUCUAGGUUGAACAAAGGACAACAGGAGUUGGAGCUGUCCCCUUGCUCCUGUCCGAGUCUGGCAGAGUGCCUAGUUUCUUGUGGGCACUGCAACGUUCAUUCUUCCCCAUUUGCUUCUCUGUCCUCCCCUCACUCCUCAAUGAGAGAUGGUGUGUAUUCAAUUACACAUCACCCCACCCUGUGCAGCCACCCUGGUAGCAUGCACAUCCGACAUAGGAGAUUCAGAGCAAAUUGUACACU